UACGAAGGGGGCGAGCGUUGUUCGGAUUUACUGGGCGUAAAGGGCGCGCAGGCGGUUCUGUUUGUCGAGUGUGAAAGCCCCGGGCUCAACCUGGGAACUGCGCUCGAAACGGCGGAACUAGAGUUCGGGAGAGGAGAGUGGAAUUCCCAGUGUAGAGGUGAAAUUCGUAGAUAUUGGGAAGAACACCCGUGGCGAAGGCGGCUCUCUGGGACGGUACUGACGCUGAGACGCGAAAGCGUGGGGAGCGAACAGG
rnacentral:rRNA from 1 species